CGCGUAGGCGGUUCGGUAAGUCCUGUGUGAAAUCCCUCGGCUCAACUGAGGAACUGCACGGGAGACUGCCGGGCUUGAGUUCGGGAGAGGGAAGCGGAAUUCCGGGUGUAGCGGUGAAAUGCGUAGAUAUCCGGAGGAACACCGGUGGCGAAGGCGGCUUCCUGGACCGACACUGACGCUGAGGCGCGAAAGCUAGGGGAGCAAACG
rnacentral:rRNA from 1 species